rnacentral:rRNA from 1 species
UACAGAGGGUGCAAGCGUUAAUCGGAAUUACUGGGCGUAAAGCGUGCGCAGACGGUUGCGUAAGUCAGAUGUGAAAUCCCCGGGCUCAACCUGGGAACUGCAUUUGUGACUGCACAGCUAGAGUACGGUAGAGGGGGAUGGAAUUCCGCGUGUAGCAGUGAAAUGCGUAGAUAUGCGGAGGAACACCGAUGGCGAAGGCAAUCCCCUGGACCUGUACUGACGCUCAUGCACGAAAGCGUGGGGAGCAAACAGG